rnacentral:lncRNA from 10 species
CUUUGUGUGGCACAAAGGACUCUGUGCACCCAGUGACCAAGGAAUGUUGGAACUGCUUUGGAGGAAGACAUUUCCAGGAAUGGAACACCUAUUCAGUACUGACAGAGGAGGAGCACUGCCAUCUUGGACAAGCACCUCAUCCUAAAGUUCAUCUUAAUCAAAAACCACCUAAAUCCAAAGGACAUCAGCCUAAUGGCCAAGGUCAGCAUGACCAUAAACCACAAAUAACAUCUCUGACCAGAAACAUUCCAAACUCCUCCCCAACCAGAGACAUGCUAGCCCCGAGAUAGUCUCCCUCUGGCCGGAAAGAUGUCAGCCCCAAGAUAACCUCUCCUCCGUCCAGAGAAAUUCCAACCCCCCAUAAACUUCUCCCCCACACAGAAACAUUCCAAGCUUGUGAUAAGCCUGCUCACUGUAAAACCAAUAUAUACUCUUAGUCUGUAAGAGAAAGCUCUCCUGACCAAAAUUGGCCAGAAGCCCCUCUCAGGU